rnacentral:rRNA from 1 species
UACAGAGGUCCCAAGCGUUGUUCGGAUUCACUGGGCGUAAAGGGCGCGUAGGUGGUGCUGUAAGUCAGGUGUGAAAUCUCGGGGCUCAACCCCGAAACUGCACUUGAUACUGCAGUGCUCGAGGACUGGAGAGGAGAUUGGAAUUCAUGGUGUAGCAGUGAAAUGCGUAGAUAUCAUGAGGAAGACCAGUGGCGAAGGCGGAUCUCUGGACAGUUCCUGACACUGAGGCACGAAGGCCAGGGGAGCAAACGGG